rnacentral:rRNA from 1 species
UUUGUCGCGUUGUUCGUGAAAUCUCACGGCUUAACUGUGAGCGUGCGGGCGAUACGGGCAGACUUGAGUACUGCAGGGGAGACUGGAAUUCCUGGUGUAGCGGUGGAAUGCGCAGAUAUCAGGAGGAACACCAGUGGCGAAGGCGGGUCUCUGGGCAGUAACUGACGCUGAGGAGCGAAAGCGUGGGGAGCGAACAGGAUUAGAUACCCUGGUAGUCCACGCCGUAAACGGUGGGUACUAGGUGUGGGUUUCCUUCCUUGGGAUCCGUGCCGUAGCUAACGCAUUAAGUACCCCGCCUGGGGAGUACGGCCGCAAGGCUAAAACUCAAAGAAAUUGACGGGGGCCCGCACAAGCGGCGGAGCAUGUGGAUUAAUUCGAUGCAACGCGAAGAACCUUACCUGGGUUUGACAUGCACAGGACGCCGGCAGAGAUGUCGGUUCCCUUGUGGCCCUGUGUGCAGGUGGUGCAUGGCUGUCGUCAGCUCGUGUCGUGAGAUGUUGGGUUAAGUCCCGCAACGAGCGCAACCCUUGUCUCAUGUUGCCAGCGGGUAAUGCCGGGGACCGUGAGAGACUGCCGGGGUCAACUCGGAGGAAGGUGGGGAUGACGUCAAGUCAUCAUGCCCCUUAUGUCCAGGGCUUCACACAUGCUACAAUGGCCGGUACAAAGGGCUGCGAUGCCGGAGUUAAGCGAAUCCUUUUAAAGCCGGCCUCAGUUCGGAUCGGGGUCUGCAA